AACGAACGCUGGCGGCAUGCCUAACACAUGCAAGUCGAACGAGACCUUCGGGUCUAGUGGCGCACGGGUGCGUAACGCGUGGGAACCUGCCCUUAGGUUCGGAAUAACUCUUCGAAAGGGGUGCUAAUACCGGAUAAUGUCCUCGGACCAAAGAUUUAUCGCCUUUGGAUGGGCCCGCGUUGGUUUAGCUAGUUGGUAGUGUAAAAGCCUACCAAGGCGACGAUCCAUAGCUGGUCUGAGAGGAUGAUCAGCCACACUGGGACUGGGACACGGCCGAGAAUCCUACGGGAGGCGGCAGUGGGGAAUAUUGGACAAUGGGCGAAAGCCUGAUCCAGCAAUGCCGCGUGAGUGAUGAAGGCCUUAGGGUUGUAAAGCUCUUUUACCCGGGAUGAUAAUGACAGUACCGGGAGAAUAAGCUCCGGCUAACUCUGUG
rnacentral:rRNA from 1 species